GACGAACGCUGGCGGCGUGCCUAAUACAUGCAAGUAGAACGCUGAAGGAGGAGCUUGCUUCUCUGGAUGAGUUGCGAACGGGUGAGUAACGCGUAGGUAACCUGCCUGGUAGCGGGGGAUAACUAUUGGAAACGAUAGCUAAUACCGCAUAAGAGUAGAUGUUGCAUGACAUUUGCUUAAAAGGUGCAAUUGCAUCACUACCAGAUGGACCUGCGUUGUAUUAGCUAGUUGGUGGGGUAACGGCUCACCAAGGCGACGAUACAUAGCCGACCGGAGAGGGGGGUCGGCCACCCUGGGAAUGGGACCCGGCCCAGACUCCUGCGGGCGGCAGCAGGAGGGAAUCGUCGGCAAUGGACGGAAGGCUGACCGAGCAACGCCGCGUGAGGGGAGGAGGUUUUCGGAUCGUAAAGUGCUGUUUUAAGUGAAGAACGAGUGUGAGAGUUGAAAGUUCACGCUGUGACGGUAUCUUACCAGAAAGGGACGGCUAACUACGUG
rnacentral:rRNA from 1 species